CCCGUGCCCCCUUGACAGGAGGGUGCAAGAAAGGAUAACCGAAGAAGGAGCCUUCGUACCUUGCUCGUUGUGAGCUCCUACACCUUCCCAGCGUCUCGCCAAUGACCUCUUUGAAGAGCCCCAAGAUCCCUCUCCGUUCCUUCCCCUUCCAACACCUCGCCUCUUUGCCUUCUCCAAGAGUCCCUCGCCUCAACAAACCCCGUCCGCCUCCCGGCGCUGUGGCCUUUCGCAAGAAAGCGAGGUUCCUGAGGUCAAUCCGUACACCAAGCGGCGGUCACGCGGCCACCCGUUGUUCCAGUGCGCAACACGGCGGGAACUCGAUCGAGGAAGUGGAACGGCCUCCCUUCGAUCUCAAUCUCGCCGUCGUUCUUGCUGGAUUUGCCUUCGAGGCGUAUACGAGCCCUCCGAAAGACGUUGGAUGGCGUGAGAUCGAUGCUGCAGAUUGUCAGACGGUGUUCCUUUCCGAGCAAUUUCUUCGUGAGGUAUAUGAUGGGCAACUUCGUAUUAAGUUAAAGAAAGGUGUAGAUUUUCCUGCAUUGGACCCAUGGGGAACAAGUGAUCCUUAUGUGGUCUUGCAAGUAGAAGGUCAGGUCGCAAAAAGCAAGGUCAAAUGGGCGUCAACAGAGCCAACUUGGAAUGAGGAUUUCACUUUGAACAUCAAGAAGACACCAGCUAAAACUUUGCAGGUUGCAGCUUGGGAUGCGAACCUCAUUACUCCACACAAACGCAUGGGAAAUGCAGGAGUUAAUCUCGAAACUUUCUGUGAUGGCAACCUGCAUGAGGUGAUGGUGGAACUGGAGGGGAUUAGUGGUGGUGGAAAGAUAUAUUUGGAGGUUAUUUACAGAAGCUAUGAUGAAAUUAAAGAAGAGAAACUGUGGUGGAGAAUGCCUUUUUUCUCAGAUUUUUUUAUAAAGAGCAACUUUGGAUCUGCUCUCAAACUGGUCCUUGGGUCUGAGGGUACAAAUGUUAGUCAAUUUGUACAAUCUGCCUUUGGGCAGUUAAAAACUUUUGGAUAUACUUAUCUUGAGAAACCUUCCUCUUUCAACAAUGAUAACAAUGACUCAGAACACACUGAUAAAUCUAUAAGUAGGAAUGCUAGCUCAGCAACAUUUCUGCAGCAAGAGAGCAGUUCAGAAUCUUCAGAUAAUUCCAUAUCUAACUCAAACCUUGAGAAAGAGCCCACGUUACUUUUGGUUCAAACUAAUGAGGAAGAAAAUUCUACAUUGGAGAACGAUGAUAAAUCAGGGCCACCAGAUGAGUAUUUCUGGAGAACUUUUGCUGAAAGUAUCAAUCAAAUUGUUCAUCAGAAGUUUGGCUUUUCACUUCCUGAGAUCAAACUGUUUGAUGGAUUUGACAAGUUAAAUAAGGUCAGCUUACAGUCACUCAGAUUUGCAGAAAAAGAGUAUGUUGAAUCUGGACUUGCAACACCUGAAGAUAAGGGUGAUAAUGAGAGACAGAGUGAUCAUCUGUCUAAUAUAGAUGAGUCGAAGUACUCACUUAUGGACAUCACGAAGGUAUCAAGGGAUGUGCUGAGCCAAACAGAGACAAUAUUUGGAGCAUUAAUGAUCCUCACUGCCACACUCUCUCAACAGAGAAAUGAUCUAAUGUCAUUGCUUGAGAGCAGCGGUAGAGAAGACACUUCCAAGACUGAAGAUGACAUUGCAGGAUAUUCUUCAAACGACACAGGAACUGUUGCCGUAGAAGGAUUUGAACUAGACACAGAAAAAGCUGAGGAGAUGAGGGAACUGUUUUCAAGUGCAGAAAGUGCAAUGGAAGCCUGGACAAUGCUAGCCACUUCGUUGGGCCGUACAAGUUUUAUCAAAUCUGACUUUGAAAAGAUAUGUUUUCUUGAUAACACCACCACAGAUACACAGGUGGCCAUCUGGCGUGAUUCUGUUCGGAGAAGAUUAGUUGUUGCCUUCAGAGGUACUGAGCAAUCAAAAUGGAAGGAUUUGUGCACCGACUUAAUGCUACUUCCAGCUGGGCUAAACCCUGAGAGACUAAGUGGCGAUUUUAAACAAGAAGUUCAGGUUCAUAGUGGAUUCUUAAAUGCAUAUGAUUCAGUCAGGACUCGGAUAAUGAUGCUCACUGAACUUGCAAUUGGUUUUGAAUUGGGAGAUGAAUCAGAAAAUGCACCUAAAUGGCAACUUUAUGUUACUGGACAUAGCUUAGGUGGUGCACUUGCUACACUUCUUGCUCUUGAAUUAUCAUCAAGUCGAAUGGCAAAGCAUGGACAAAUUACGGUUACGAUGUACAACUUCGGUUCUCCUCGAGUUGGAAAUAGAAGGUUUGCUGAGCUCUAUAAUGAGAAGGUCAAAGAUAGCUGGAGAAUUGUGAACCACAGAGACAUUAUUCCAACAGUGCCUCGUCUUAUGGGCUACUGCCAUGUUGCUCAACCUGUUUAUCUUUCAGCUGGAGAUUUAGAGGGAUUGGUAAAUAGAGAAUUUCUAGGAGAUGGGUAUCAAAGUGAUGUAAUUGGAGAAGCCACACCUGAUAUUCUUGUGAAUGAGUUUAUGAAAGGAGAGAAGCAACUUAUUGAACAAAUAUUACAGACCGAGAUUAAUCUCCUCCGUUCCAUCAGAGAUGGGACUGCCCUUAUGCAGCAUAUGGAAGAUUUCUAUUACAUCACUCUUUUGGAGAAAGUGAGAUCAAACUAUAGACGGACGGUUUGAGGGAGCCAUCAUGCAAUUGCAUCUUCUUGAGUUAAUUCAGUUCAUUCUUGCUCCUCCAACCUUCUUCUAUUAAGUUUUGUGAGGUCCUGAUAUUCUCCUAUCUUUUGUGUUGGACAUUUAUUUAUAUGACAACUGGGGGUAUCAAGAUCGAUUACAAUAUAAUUUUUGAUAUUCUGGUCGAUCGACUGAAACUUGAUGACAAUCUGAUGUUUAGUGGAUUGAUGUACCUGUUGUUUUCUUAGUGGGGAUGGUGAUAACAUGAUAGAAUGUCAAGCUAAUUUGCACUGCAAGUCGGCUGCAAUCACAGAGUUCUCUAACCACAAAAGUAACCGCAUAAAU